rnacentral:rRNA from 1 species
GACGAACGCUGGCGGCGUGCUUAACACAUGCAAGUCGUACGGUAAGGCCCUUUCGGGGGUACACGAGUGGCGAACGGGUGAGUAACACGUGAGUAACCUGCCCACAACUUUGGGAUAACGCUAGGAAACUGGUGCUAAUACUGGAUAUGUGCUCCUGCUGCAUGGUGGGGGUUGGAAAGCUCCGGCGGUUGUGGAUGGACUCGCGGCCUAUCAGCUUGUUGGUGGGGUAGUGGCCUACCAAGGCGGCGACGGGUAGCCGGCCUGAGAGGGUGACCGGCCACAUUGGGACUGAGAUACGGCCCAGACUCCUACGGGAGGCAGCAGUGGGGAAUAUUGCACAAUGGGCGCAAGCCUGAUGCAGCAACGCCGCGUGCGGGAUGACGGCCUACGGGUUGUAAACCGCUUUCAGCAGGGACGAAGCUUUUUGUGACGGUACCUGCAGAAGAAGCACCGGCUAACUACGUG